GAUGCAACAGAGAAAAACCAACAAAAUUUACUUACUGUUAGUACUUAUUACAAUGAGGGACUAAGAUGGACAACCCAUGGCCCUUCAGCUAUUGGACUACAAUUCUCCUUAUCCCUAACAGUUGUCAUUCAAGCUUGAAUCAAGGAUAUGGAAGAAUCUUACAUCUGGGAGGCAACUGGUUCUUUACUUGAGAACAUGAACUUUCUGAAGGGACUUGAAAUUCUUUCUACUGAACCAAACAACUUUCAAUUCCAUCUCUGCAAUCAAUGUUCCAUAAUUCAACCCCAUUUCUUUACACUGCAAACCACUUGCUUCAUGAAGUAAAGCAGAGGCCAACAAAAUGCACAUGGUCUGUCUCACAAGUUCCAAUUUUUGUCCUGUGAUUUAAUAAUCAGUUUUGGGCUACAGCUGCUUUGUCUUCUUUGCCAAUUCUGCCAUUUGAAAUUCUACUGAUAUGCACACACCAAGCCCAAUGCUGUUAUAUGCCCAAACUUUCCACAUCAGUUUUUUUUAUUUCUAGCCAAGCAGUAUCAAACUCUUUUUGUGUAAAAAAGACAUUCUUCAAGCGGUCAAGGUCAGAUGGUGUUCACAUCUGCAGGAGGAGUGGCGGGAAGAUAUUCAAAUGAACUGGGAGAACGUGGGACCAUGUGACCAGCAAAGGGGUUAGGGGGGUGGGACUCUUGGGGUUUGUAUAACUGGGAAAAGAAUCCGGAAGUUCAGUUUUGGAAUUUCACUCAUCGUGUGCCAGUUUCCUCAUGCUAGUAAAGUAAAAUUAAAACCUGCUAGACAAUCUGGCCUGAGACCUCAACCUGCCGCUCCCCCACCACCCUUGAUAAUCCAAGGUGAAACCCACUAUGAAAUCAAGAAAAUCCUUGACUCUAGACUAUACAGAGGUCAAUUACAAUAUUUAGUCCACUGGAAGGGAUAUCCAGUAUCUGAAUCUACUUGGGUCAACAGUUGGAAAGUAAAUGCGGACAAUUUGAUUAAACAAUUUCACGACACUUUCCCUGACAAACCUAAAAAACCUCUUGGAGGGGGGAGAGGGGGGUAGAAGGGAAGUGUGGACCACUGACACUCUUCUUUAUUAAUUCUUUGUUUUCUUUCCUAGGAUAUAGCUUCUUUUCCAAGGGGGGACGCCUGUCAGGCCUGGAAACCAUACUAGACUUUAGGGUUCCAGACGCUGCCACAUUUUUCCCCUGAGGGGAAGAAGGGGGGUUGAGGGGUAUGGUAACAUUCUUCAAGCGGUCAAGGUCGGAUGGUGUUCACAUCUGCAGGAGUGGCGGGAAGAUAUUCGAAUGAACUGGGAGAAUGUGGGACCAUGUGACCAGCAAAGGGGUUAGGGGGGUGGGACUCUUGGGGUUUGUAUAACUGGGAAAAGAAUCCAGAAGUUCAGUUUUGGAAUUUCACUCAUCGUGUGCCAGUUUCCUCAUGCUAGUAAAGAACUCUGAAAGACAAUGGCUUCUGAGUUUUUUUUAUGCAGAAGAGGUUUUUCUGGAACCUUGACACCCACAUCAGUUUUUUAUUUCUAGUCAACAGUAGCAAACUCUUUUUGUGUAAAAAUAGA